rnacentral:rRNA from 1 species
UAAGCAUAUCAAUAAGCGGAGGAAAAGAAACCAACAGGGAUUGCCUUAGUAACGGCGAGUGAAGCGGCAACAGCUCAAAUUUGAAAUCUGGCUCCUUCGGGGCCCGAGUUGUAAUUUGGAGAGGAUGUUUCGGGCACGGUCCGGGCUUAAAUUUCUUGGAACAGAAUGUCACGGAGGGUGAGAAUCCCGUCUGGAGCUCGGACACGACCCAUGUGAAACUCCUUCGACGAGUCGAGUUGUUUGGGAAUGCAGCUCUAAAUGGGUGGUAAAUUUCAUCUAAAGCUAAAUAUUGGCCAGAGACCGAUAGCGCACAAGUAGAGUGAUCGAAAGAUGAAAAGCACUUUGAAAAGAGAGUUAAACAGUACGUGAAAUUGUUGAAAGGGAAGCGCUGGCAACCAGACUUGCGCGUCGGGGUUCCCCCUUGCUUCUGCCUGGGUUACUCCCCGGCGUUCAGGCCAACAUCGGUUUCGGGGGUCGGUUAAAGGCCCUGGGAAUGUACCUACCCUCCGGGGUAGACUUAUAGCCCAGGGUGUCAUGCGGCCUCCCGGGACCGAGGAACGCGCUUCGGCUCGGAUGUUGGCGUAAUGGUUGUCAGCGACCCGUCUUGAAACACGGACCAAGGAGUCUAACAUCUAUGCGAGUGUUAGGGUGUCAAACCCUUACGCGGAAUGAAAGUGAACGGAGGUAGGAAGCCUUACGGCUGCACUAUCGACCGAUCCUGAAGUUUACGGAUGGAUUUGAGUAAGAGCAUAGCUGUUGGGACCCGAAAGAUGGUGAACUAUGCCUGAAUAGGGUGAAGCCAGAGGAAACUCUGGUGGAGGCUCGCAGCGGUUCUGACGUGCAAAUCGAUCGUCAAAUUUGGGUAUAGGGGCGAAAGACUAAUCGAACCAU